GGCUCGGUGGUGGAUGGUCCACACCUCCCACAAUUACUGACUCAUGCAAACGUUUCUGGAGGAGCAGCCCGUUCGACUCGGGCCCGGGCCA